rnacentral:ncRNA from 2 species
UGAUGCGCGCCAGUUUCAGGUGUCCCAUGCCGCCGUGCAUGGGAUUAAACGGGAAGCCGGUGCGUCACUCUCUGUGAUCAGUCCGGCGCUGCCCCCGCAACGGUAAGCGAGCGAAGCAUUCAAAAUACCACUGUGCCAAGGCAUGGGAAGGUGAAUGUUUCAUGACCCUCGCAAGCCCGGAGACCGGCCUGCAACCUUGUUUGGCA